AUACGGAGGGUGCAAGCGUUAAUCGGAAUCACUGGGCAUAAAGAGCACGUAGGCGGGAAUGUAAGUCGGGUGUGAAAUCCCUCGGCCUAACCGAGGAACUGCGCCCGAUACUGCAUACCUUGAGGGCAUGAGGGGAGCGUGGAAUUCCUGGUGGAGCGGUGAAAUGCGUUGAUAUCAGGAGGAACACCGGCGGCGAAGGCGACGCUCUGGCCUGUUUCUGACGCUGAGGUGCGAAAGCCAGGGGAGCAAACGGGAUUAGAAACCCCGGUAGUCC
rnacentral:rRNA from 1 species